rnacentral:rRNA from 1 species
GAUGAACGCUGGCGGCGUGCUUAGCACAUGCAAGUCGAACGAAGCACUUUUAACGGACUGGAGAGCUUGCUCGAAGGAAAGAUAAAAGUGACUGAGUGGCAGACGGGUGAGUAACGCGUGGGUAACCUGCCUCAUACAGGGGGAUAACAGUUAGAAAUGACUGCUAAUACCGCAUAAGCGCACAGCAUCGCAUGAUGCAGUGUGAAAACUCCGGUGGUAUGAGAUGGACCCGCGUCUGAUUAGCUAGUUGGUGGGGUAACGGCCUACCAAGGCGACGAUCAGUAGCCGGCUUGAGAGAGUGAACGGCCAUAUUGGGACUGAGACACGGCCCAA